CACUCGCAUGUACGUAAUAAGGAACGGAUACGGAUAAACAACGCUGCUUUACAAGGAGUGGCAGCGAAACAGAACGGCAAAAUGUCACUGUUUCUAAAUAUUUUGAGUGGAAUAAUUUUCAUUAUUUCAAGCGCUGAGGCUGAUAUUUAUCUCCACAACCUCCGGGGCAGCAACAAUCGGCUGGAUGAAGCUACUCGGCCCAGGACAAAUGAAAAAAGGAUGUUUAACUCUCAGAACAACGCCCGAGGGGGGUACAACGUGGGCUCCCUCUUCUACUAUCAGGGGUCUUUGCUGCCAAUAGAAUGGACCAACCAGCACUCCUGCCAUGAUGCCAACAGUCACUGCGAGAUCAUCCUGCAGUACAUGUGCGGGGACGCCGUCCGGGAUGGCGCCACUACCAAAACAAUUCCUGAAACUCAUGCCCAGUGUCUCAACAAUGACUGCAACAGCGACCGCACUUAUGGCAUGCACGAAGACUACAACUACUACAACCACUGUAAACGGCGACAACGAAAUAAAGGCCUCUUUGUUGCCGACCAGAAUCUAAACAACAGGAAUCGUCAGUUUGCUCGGAACACAAGACAGAAUCCAGCGGGAACCAGGUAUGGGUACGAGUGUCCUGAGGAGAGAGAUUACUACCCAUACUGGCACCCAACACCCUGGAAGGACAUCGCAGUGAUGACUAAUGAUGCCCAGCGCUGCCUGUACUACCGAGCCCAGAGUGAGAACGUCAAGUCUCGCUGGGCCUGCGUCCUCCUCAACGACAGCACCACCGCUAUACCCAACAACAAGGAAGACUGCGAGCAACUUGAGACCAAUGGAGUCAAGGGCCAGUGGAAGGAAUUUCCUUCACAUGGACUACCUCCCCCUGACUGUCGGGAGACAGACUUCUCUCGGGAUAAUCACCUGGGAAACGGCAUUGGCGGUCACCCCCUACUUUACAACUGGACAGUCCCGAACAUCAGCCACGAGAAGUGUGUCAUGAGGAUCCGAUACAACGUCUCAACCAACGACUACGAUGGCUGGAACACAAAUUCUAGUCAGAAUGGAAACCCAACCAAAAUCGAAAUGGCCGACAAGUAUGGCUUCUCUACCGAGGAAGCCGCUGGAACAAGAGGUUACAAGUUUAAAAAUAACCCCGAGGUGAAGCUGUUCGACGAUGCUGACUUCAGCCUUCAGCUGGCCAUCAACACUGCCCAGUAUGGUCGGGUGUUUCAAGAUAGGUCUCACACAUUUGCUAUACGCCCUCGUCCAGACCACAUUGACAGCACAAGCACCAUCCACAACUUGAACGUACGCGGCAAGCGUGGCAACAUUGUGCAGGUGUACCCUUCUGUGGAAUACGACUUUGUACCAAACACCCUGGAGAUGGGGACAGGGGAAUAUGUGCACUUCCAAUGGACUGGUUCCAACACCAACAACCGUGGCAACGAUGGAAACGGUCUGGCUGGCACUGACCGCAACAACAUCGUUCUUCUGUCUGCAAAGAAAUACCCAGAAGGCAGUGGAGCCUCCUUUGGACCUGGCGUGAAACGGGGACAUUUUGGCGUUAAUUACCCUGAACACGUGACAAAUGAUACCUUCCUGGGACUGGGAAGAAAUGAUGUAGAAAAGCUUGCUCUUCUUACCACAGGUCAGUUCGGGGGUGAAAUGUCACAGCUGGAUGACGCAGGUACAUACUUCAACCUUGACCCCAGGCAGAUAACUCAGCUAGGAACUUACCACUUCAUGUCCACGAGGAACAACGACUUCUCCAACAGGGACCAGAAGGCCCGCAUCAUGGUGUACCCCUACCCAGUGAGAUACGAGGCCAUCGGCAGCAUGGGCGGCAGUGUCACCCUGCCUAGUGGCAAUGCCAAGGUUGAAGUGAGUCAAGGAGCCUUUGACAGACUACAGAAACUGAGACUUGAGGAAUGGAGUCGAGAGGAGGGAGACAGGCAGAUGCAGGCAGCACACCAGACCAUGAAUCUCGGCAGUGACUACGUCAGCAACUUCCUGGUGGUGUAUCCACAAAGCCAGAUCGCAAGUGACAGCAAAACAUUCACCAUUGAGCUGAAGGUUGACAGCGGCAGCUCGGACGUCGUCGUCUACAGGUCCAAUGCCAACAACUUCGCGACAUGGACGCGAGUGGAUGCCAGUAUUGACGGCAACAUGGCCAAGUUCCAGGCCCAGGGAGGGGGAGUCUUCGUGGCACGCAGUACCAGCAACAUCGGGAUGGUCGUCGGGAUAGCAAUUGCCUGUAUUGUCAUUGUCGUCAUCCUCAUCGGGACUCUGGUUUACUUCAAACUGCAUCCCAAGAAGUGGCAAAGUGUUAAAAACAACGCCAAAUACAUUCAGAGAUCUACUCAGAGCAAAGUAUGAGAAAUAUUUCUGCUGGAAGAAAAACCAACUCGGCUCAAUAGGUAGCACAUUUUUAUCAACCUGACCAAUUUGAAAUACACUGUGUAUUGUGACACUCUGUUAUCAAUACAAUAAGCGUCACAAUACUAGAUGUCAUGUGAAUGUAUUUUAAUUUAGACAUUUCAAAGGUAAACAAAGCAAUUAUUUUCCAAAAUAUUUUUUUUACGUCAAAUGUUACGUCAGAUAUUUUAACGGCUUUAGUGGAUGUUUUGAUCAGUACCAAUACGUACAGCAUUAAGUGUGCAGAUAAUCACGUUAAUCUGUUAAAAGUAUACAUACUGUAUUCGCCAUAUGAAGCGCUUGGGAGGGGGGUAAAUUUUGUUUUGAGAGAUUGAGCGGAAGGGAACACACUUUGUUCAAAAUCUUUUCUGUAAAAAGAGUACCCGCCAUGAUAUCGCUGGAAUAUUGCUAAUAGUGGCGUAAAACCAUACUUACUCACUCACUCACUGUAAAAAGAGACAAAAAUCCAGAAGACAAUACAGACUGUCAAGUAAAUUUUCUGUCCAAGUAGAGUGCGUUUAUAAAGAUUUAUCUAGGAGUUGGUCAACGGGUGCUUGUUGGAGCAGGGCGCUUAGUGCGGUGAAUACGGUACUUCAUAGGGUGAUGCACCAGUGCAUCGAUGCAUCUCCUUAUUAGCCUUCCUCAUUGUAGUAUCUAGUCUUGACCAUCAUGACCACAGCAGGGAUUUGUCUAGAUCUGCCCCGAGGCCAAUAUUCGGCUUCAAGUCUGCAGCAACUGUCAGUAAAAAUUCCCAAAUUUAAAUGAAAAAAAUCCUUUAUGUUAAUUUCGUUAUUACUAAUGUUAUAACUUUGUCAGGGAACUUGUACUUCCACAAAUAAAGAGGCAUUAAUGCUCAGUUUUACAUUGUUGCAUAAGAUGCAAUGUUACAAUACCUCUGAAUUUAAGAACAUUUGAACUUUAAAAAAUCUGAUUUUGAUUAAAAUCAUAAUUGUUCCUCAAUAUGCCUGCCAAAGGCACUUAGUUUAGAGUCUACGAUACAGCCCCACAUAGAGGUCCCUAUUCCCUUGUCUAUAUGUCGACAUUUUAUCAGCUGGUUCCAGCAAUCUCCACACGGUUAUGAAUACAAAUACUCAUCUUUCAGUUUUACAUAUCAGAUGUGACUUGUGUAAUACAUGCAUGUAUCAAACAUCUUUAUCAUUUGGAAUCUUGUUCAUGUUCCAUACAAAUUCCACAGCAUCUCUAACAGCAAAAUAUGUAUUUAUGAUCAUAAUCAUAUUUGAUAA
rnacentral:misc_RNA from 1 species